CUCCUAGGAGAAAUACAGGGUUAGGUUCCUGAGAGCCUCUGGUCACAUUGUGAUCAAGCAAUCAAUAUAUGCACAUAAUCUUAUUUCAUUUACAACAACAAAAUGAGCAAUAAUGAAGCAAUAUAUGUUUGGUAUGACACCCUGGGGACUGAUAAAGAAGAGGAAGAGGGAAGAACAAUGGGAUCCUUCAGUGGGCCCCGACCUCCCUAUUCCCUGAGACACAAUAUUGAAGUGAGGCCAAUUAAUAAGCCUACAAAGGCCUGUAAGUGUUCAAGAGAAAGGAAGAGUCACAUGUCUCUUACUUUAAAUCAAAAGCUACAAAUGAUUAAGGAAGGCAUGCCAAAUACCAACAGGCUGAAACAUAAGGCCUCUUGGACCAGCUGGCCAAGAUGUGAAUAUAAAGGAAACGUUCUUGAAGGAAAUUAAAAGUGCUACCCCAGUGAACACACACAAAUGGCAGACUGUAAACUCCAGGAGACAGGAAGUCACUUCUUAGUAAUGCUGUAUCUCUUCCACUGGCACGGAGCUUGACACAAAAUAAAUUCUCC